rnacentral:rRNA from 1 species
UACGUAGGUGGCAAGCGUUGUCCGGAUUUACUGGGCGUAAAGCGUGCGCAGGCGGACCUUUAAGUAGGAAGUGAAAGGUUGGAGCUCAACUCUAACAGGGCUCCCUAUACUGGAGGUCUUGAAGGUCGGAGAGGAAGAGGGAACGACACGUGUAGCGGUGAAAUGCGUUGAGAUGUGUCGGAACACCAAUGGCGAAAGCACUCUUCUGGACGAUCAUUGACGCUCAGGCACGAAGGUCAGGGGAGCAAACGGG